AGUCGAGGGGUAUAGGCUUUCGGGCCUAGAGACCGGCGCACGGGUGCGUAACGCGUAUGCAAUCUGCCUUGUACAAAGGGAUAGCCCAGAGAAAUUUGGAUUAAUACCUUAUAGUAUAUAGAUGUGGCAUCACAUUUAUAUUAAAGAUUUAUCGGUACAAGAUGAGCAUGCGUCCCAUUAGCUAGUUGGUAUGGUAACGGCAUACCAAGGCAAUGAUGGGUAGGGGUCCUGAGAGGGAGAUCCCCCACACUGGUACUGAGACACGGACCAGACUCCUACGGGAGGCAGCAGUGAGGAAUAUUGGACAAUGGGCGCAAGCCUGAUCCAGCCAUGCCGCGUGCAGGAUGAAGCAUCUAUGGUGUGUAAACUGCUUUUAUACGGGAAGAAACCCUGGCUCGUGAGCCAGAUUGACGGUACCGUAGGAAUAAGGAUCGGCUAACUCCGUGCCAGCAGCCGCGGUAAUACGGAGGAUCCAAGCGUUAUCCGGAAUCAUUGGGUUUAAAGGGUCCGUAGGCGGUUUUAUAAGUCAGUGGUGAAAUCCGGUAGCUCAACUAUCGAACGGCCAUUGAUACUGUAGAACUUGAAUUAUUGUGAAGUAACUAGAAUAUGUAGUGUAGCGGUGAAAUGCUUAGAUAUUACAUGGAAUACCAAUUGCGAAGGCAGGUUACUAACAAUAUAUUGACGCUGAUGGACGAAAGCGUGGGGAGCGAACAGGAUUAGAUACCCUGGUAGUCCACGCCGU
rnacentral:rRNA from 1 species